UACGAAGGGGGCUAGCGUUGCUCGGAAUCACUGGGCGUAAAGCGCACGUAGGCGGCUUUUUAAGUCAGGGGUGAAAUCCUGGAGCUCAACUCCAGAACUGCCUUUGAUACUGGGAGCUUGAGUCCGGGAGAGGUGAGUGGAACUCCGAGUGUAGAGGUGAAAUUCGUAGAUAUUCGGAAGAACACCAGUGGCGAAGGCGC
rnacentral:rRNA from 1 species